UACAGAGGUCCCAAGCGUUGUUCGGAUUCAUUGGGCGUAAAGGGUGCGUAGGCGGCGCGGUAAGUCGGGUGUGAAAUCUCGGAGCUUAACUCCGAAACUGCAUUCGAUACUGCCGUGCUUGAGGACUGGAGAGGAGACUGGAAUUUACGGUGUAGCGGUGAAAUGCGUAGAUAUCGUAAGGAAGACCAGUGGCGAAGGCGGGUCUCUGGACAGUUCCUGACGCUGAGGAGCGAAAGCUAGGGGAGCAAACGGG
rnacentral:rRNA from 1 species